rnacentral:rRNA from 1 species
AACGAACGCUGGCGGCAGGCUUAACACAUGCAAGUUGAGCGAGGACUUCGGUCCUAGCGGCGGACGGGUGAGUAACGCGUGGGAACGUGCCCUUUCCUCCGGAAUAGCCCAGGGAAACUUGGAUUAAUGCCGGAUACGCCCUUUUGGGGAAAGAUUUAUCGGGGAAGGAUCGGCCCGCGUUGGAUUAGGUAGUUGGUGGGGUAAUGGCCUACCAAGCCGACGAUCCAUAGCUGGUUUGAGAGGAUGAUCAGCCACACUGGGACUGAGACACGGCCCAGACUCCUACGGGAGGCAGCAGUGGGGAAUCUUGGACAAUGGGGGCAACCCUGAUCCAGCCAUGCCGCGUGAUCGAUGAAGGCCUUAGGGUUGUAAAGAUCUUUCAGCUGGGAAGAUAAUGACGGUACCAGCAGAAGAAGCCCCGGCUAACUCCGUGCCAGCAGCCGCCGUAA